UAAGGAGGAUCCGAGCGUUAUUCGGAUUUAUUGGGUUUAAAGGGAGCGUAGGUGGAUUGUUAAGUCAGUUGUGAAAGUUUGCGGCUCAACCGUAAAAUUGCAGUUGAAACUGGCAGUCUUGAGUACAGUAGAGGUGGGCGGAAUUCGUGGUGUAGCGGUGAAAUGCGUAGAUAUCAGGAGGAACACCAGUGGCGAAGGCGGCCGCCUGGCCUGUUGCUGACGCUGAGGCACGAAAGCGUGGGUAUCGAACAGG
rnacentral:rRNA from 1 species